AACGAGGCCGACCUGCGGCUGAGUUACCUGCGGAGGGAUCAUUACCGAGUUUAUUGGGGGGUUGAGCUGGUCUCUGACAUGUGCUCGCCCCUCUAAUCCACUCUAUACACCUGUGCACCUAUUGUGGGUAUGCGAGCGCGGAAGGGGGCUGGAUAACGGCCUCUGAAAGUGCGCAUAUACUCAUGUUUAUACACACUAUGUAUGUCUCAGAAUGUCUACUUUGCGUUAACUCGCAUAUAA
rnacentral:misc_RNA from 1 species